rnacentral:tRNA from 1 species
UAAAGUGAUUUCACUCAUUUACGCUGAGCUUAUCCCUACAGGGCACUUUAU